AACGAACGCUGGCGGCAUGCCUAACACAUGCAAGUCGAACGAUGCCUUCGGGCAUAGUGGCGCACGGGUGCGUAACGCGUGGGAAUCUGCCUUUCGGUUCGGAAUACUUCAGGGAAACUUGAGCUAAUACCGGAUAACGUCGCAAGACCAAAGAUUUAUCACCGAAAGAUGAGCCCGCGUAGGAUUAGCUUGUUGGUGAGGUAAAGGCUCACCAAGGCGACGAUCCUUAGCUGGUUUGAGAGGAUGAUCAGCCACACUGGGACUGAGACACAGCCCAGACUCCUACGGGAGGCAGCAGUGGGGGAUAUUGGAAUAUGGGCGAGGGCCUGAUCCAGCACUGCCGGGUGAGUGAUGAAGGCCUUAGGGUUGUAAAGCUCGUUUACCCGGGAAGAUAAUGACGGUACCGGGAGAAUAAGCCCCGGCUAACUCCGUG
rnacentral:rRNA from 1 species